GACGAACGCUAGCGGCAGGCCUAAUACAUGCAAGUCGAACGGUGUAGCAAUACACAGUGGCGCACGGGUGCGUAACACGUAUGCAACCUACCUUACAUUGGGGGAUAGCCUUUCGAAAGGGAGAUUAAUACCGCAUAAGACAGUAACUAGGCAUCUAGUAGCUGUUAAAGAUUUAUCGAUGUAAGCUGGGCAUGCGUCCAAUUAGUUAGUUGGCGAGGUAAUGGCUCACCAAGACGAUGAUUGGUAGGGGAACUGAGAGGUGAAUCCCCCACACUGGCACUGCGAUACGGGCCAGACUCCUUCGGGAGGCAGAAGUAGGGAAGAUUGGGCAAUGGGCGCAAGCCUGACCCAGCCAUGCCGCGUGCAGGAAGAAGGCGUUAUGCGUUGUAAACUGCUUUUAUACGGGAAGAAACGACCCUUGCGAGGGGCAUUGACGGUACUGUAUGAAUAAGCACCGGCUAACUCCGUGCCAGCCGCCGCGGUAACAC
rnacentral:rRNA from 1 species